rnacentral:rRNA from 1 species
AUUGAACGCUGGCGGCAUGCCUUACACAUGCAAGUCGAACGGAUUCAAGGGGCUUGCUCCUUGAGUUAGUGGCGAACGGGUGAGUAAUGCAUCGGAACGUACCCAGUUGUGGGGGAUAACGUAGCGAAAGUUACGCUAAUACCGCAUACGACCUGAGGGUGAAAGCGGGGGAUCGCAAGACCUCGCGCAAUUGGAGCGGCCGAUGUCAGAUUAGCUAGUUGGUAGGGUAAAAGCCUACCAAGGCGACGAUCUGUAGCUGGUCUGAGAGGACGACCAGCCACACUGGGACUGGGACACGGACCAGACUCCUACGGGAGGCAGCAGUGGGGAAUUUUGGACAAUGGGGGAAACCCUGAUCCAGCCAUGCCGCGUGAGUGAAGAAGGCCUUCGGGUUGUAAAGCUCUUUCGGACAGAAAGAAAUCUUUUGGGCUAAUACCCUGAGAGGAUGACGGUACUGUAAGAAGAAGCACCGGCUAACUACGUGCCAGCCGCCGCAGUAA